rnacentral:rRNA from 1 species
AUUGAACGCUGGCGGCAGGCCUAACACAUGCAAGUCGAGCGGGGUUUUCGGACCUAGCGGCGGACGGGUGAGUAAUGCGUAGGAAGCUACCCGAUAGAGGGGGAUACCAGUUGGAAACGACUGUUAAUACCGCAUAAUGUCUACGGGCCAAAGUGUGGGACCUUCGGGCCACAUGCUAUCGGAUGCGCCUACGUGGGAUUAGCUAGUUGGUGAGGUAAUGGCUCACCAAGGCGACGAUCCCUAGCUGGUUUGAGAGGAUGAUCAGCCACACUGGAACUGAGACACGGUCCAGACUCCUACGGGAGGCAGCAGUGGGGAAUAUUGGACAAUGGGCGCAAGCCUGAUCCAGCCAUGCCGCGUGUGUGAAGAAGGCCUUCGGGUUGUAAAGCACUUUCAGUAGGGAGGAAGCGUUGUGUGUUAAUAGUACACAGCGUUGACGUUACCUACAGAAGAAGCACCGGCUAACUCUGUGCCAGCCGCCGCGGUAACAC